rnacentral:rRNA from 1 species
GACGAACGCUGGCGGCGUGCUUAACACAUGCAAGUCGAACGGUGAUGGAGAGCUUGCUCUCCGGAUCAGUGGCGAACGGGUGAGUAACACGUGAGUAACCUGCCCCUGACUCUGGGAUAAGCGUUGGAAACGACGUCUAAUACCGGAUAUGACUUACGGACGCAUGUUCUGUGGGUGGAAAGAUUUUUCGGUUGGGGAUGGACUCGCGGCCUAUCAGCUUGUUGGUGAGGAAUGGCUCACCAAGGCGACGACGGGUAGCCGGCCUGAGAGGGUGACCGGCCACACUGGGACUGAGACACGGCCCAGACUCCUACGGGAGGCAGCAGUGGGGAAUAUUGCACAAUGGGCGCAAGCCUGAUGCAGCAACGCCGCGUGAGGGACGACGGCCU